AUGUCUCCUAGACGAGCACAGGCCAAUGCUGAUGUCGAUUUGGGUGCAGAAAUAAGAAGCAAGGUGUUCUUUGCAUUAACUCCUAGGCGUCCACAUCGCUCCCAUACUGCCCGCCAGGAGCUGGGGCUUAUCGAGCAGCCACGUCCCCCUUCUGCACCACCAGCUGAGUCACAAAACGCUGAUGUGGAUGUGGGUGCAGAAAUAAGAAGCAGGGUGUUCUUUCCAUCAACUCCCAGGCGUCGACGGUGCGUUCAUACUGUCUGCCAGGAGCUGGGGGCUAUCGAACAGCCGUGUCCCCCUUCUGCACCACCAGCUGAGUCACCAAACGCCAUUGAAGCAUGCCGGGAGAAGAUCAAAUGGUGGGAGAGCGUGAGGAUUUGGCUGCAGCAUAAGUCCAAAAUGAUCAAUGAGUCUUUAUGCAAGGAUCCUAAAGAUCUUAUUGUGCUACACAGUGGGCCAAAAUUCGUGGAAUUGAGCACAGGAGGCUUAUAUUGCAAUCCAAUUCCACAGGACAUCGUACCAUGA
rnacentral:rRNA from 1 species